ensembl:snRNA U6 U6 spliceosomal RNA
GUGCUCACUUCGGUAGCACAUGAUACAGAGAAGAUUAGCAUGGCCCCUGUGCAAAGAUGACACACAAAUUUGUGAAGCAUCCCAUAUUUUU